CUAUUGUUCAAUCGAGAUGAAUUGGCCAAUUUCUCUAAAUUUUCUUCAAAGGUAUUGGAAUUUUGCUUUGUUUUGAAAGAAGUAACUUAAGAAAAAAGCUUGGAAAUUGCAAAAUCGCCAAUACAAGAAUGAAAAAGUGAGAAAAUACAUCACUAAAAUAUGAGACAGAUGAACACAAUAGAUUCUUUUCAGUCAAUAAUAAAGAAUGAAGACGAAAUGCUUGUAGAGGGAUAAUACUUAAAUUUAUAUGGCAGGUGUCUAGCAGAGGUGUUGAGUGCCUAUUUUCUCUUUCGUUUACCUGCUGAAAAAGUACAAGUAAGAAGCAAUUUCUGAAUCAGAACGAAAAACUAGAAACAUCAGGGAAGGUGUAUAGAAAACAGAAAUACUUGAACAAUCAUGGCACAGCAUUGAAUGUAUACUCUAUCUCUGAACUAUACCCUAAGGUUACCAGGUGUUAUCUAUUGGAAUUGUAUGAAGAAAACAUCAUCAAAAAAAAAAAACAUAGUUUAAUAUCCGAAAGGAAGCUUAUUUUCUCGUGAAUAAUGCAUCAAAAUGAUCUUAUCCGUCCAUCUUCUGGAAGGUGACACUUCUCGUGUCAUCCUUCGUCAAUGUGAAAGGUUUCAGCAGUUCUUGUGUAUCCUAACGUUUGCGGACAAAAUACCGAAAGAACACAUUUUGUCACGAGUACUUGUGACAGCAGAUCGUCACCGUUGUAUCAAAGAAAACACGAAAAACCCAUUACCAGACUCGGACUUGAAGAACUCUAUGACCUAGGCUGGUCCGGCAGGUAAAGUAACCUAUUUGCUACUCCUCCAAACUUUAUAUAC